UACGAAGGGGGCGAGCGUUGUUCGGAAUCACUGGGCGUAAAGGGCGCGUAGGCGGCCCUUCUUGUCGCGUGUGAAAGCCCCGGGCUCAACCUGGGAACGGCGCGCGAGACGGGGGGGCUGGAGUUCGGGAGAGGAGCGUGGAAUUCCCAGUGUAGAGGUGAAAUUCGUAGAUAUUGGGAAGAACACCGGUGGCGAAGGCGGCGUCUCUGGGACCGGGUGACGUGAG
rnacentral:rRNA from 1 species